UACGUAGGGUGCAAGCGUUUGUCCGGAAUUAUUGGGCGUAAAGAGCUUGUAGGCGGUUUGUCGCGUCUGCUGUGAAAUUUCGGGGCUCAACCCCGAACUUGCAGUGGGUACGGGCAGACUAGAGUGUGGUAGGGGAGACUGGAAUUCCUGGUGUAGCGGUGAAAUGCGCAGAUAUCAGGAAGAACACCCGUGGCGAAGGCGGUUCUCUGGGACGGUACUGACGCUGAGACGCGAAAGCGUGGGGAGCGAACAGG
rnacentral:rRNA from 1 species